CCUUUUAAUUUUCGUAACCGAGUUUAGACGGUCAAGGUCGAAUAAGCGUACGACGGAAAACGUGGUUCACAAGGAAGGUCAAAAUCGGAAGGUCGGAUGAUGGCAAGAUAAGCUCAUUAACAAGGGAGGUUACUCAGCCCUAUCUAUAAGGGAGAUUUCUCUGCCUCAACAUGGCUGCUCUAAAGAGAUCUCUAACAAGCACCCAGCGGGCCCUUUCUCGCUCUGGCGUUCCGUUUCUUCAGAUCCAGGGAAAAGGUUCUCCUAGGACAUUCCCAAAGAUAUCAGAAGGGUAUCUGAAGACAUUUGCUGUAGUGGUGGUGGUUUUGGGACUGUCCACUUCCACCUUCUGCAGCAGGAAACUGUCAAGUGAGAAGAAGGACUGUAAUCCAUUUAAACGGCUAUUCUCAGCAGCAUCACAACCAUCAGAAACAAAGGAUGCAAAAGACCAUCAUGUUUCAGUUGGGGUAAAGGAUUUAAAAUGAAAACAAGUGGUCAAGUACAGUGCUUGGUCAAAGAUUUCAAACUGCAUGCAGGACAACAAGUAAACAUAAUAGUUAUAUAGACCUUCCCGCUGCUUUCUGAACUAGGUUAAAUAAUGUGUUGAGGUAACAUUUCUGUUUUAACUUUGGUUUUUAUAAUAAAUUAAAACAUCAAUGUUAUUAAAAUUGGCUGACUUAACAGUUCUCUGAAAAAAACAUUGACAGUGCUUGAUUGCACAUAUAUGCAUGUAACCAAUAAGAAAAUCUUCAUUUAUAAAUCAGCACUUCAAUUUAAACUGCCUAAAAUAAGAAGAUCAUCUGAUGAAAUCUUCUGACUUACCUUCUUACGAAGUGUUUGUAGAAAGGCCCUGGUGUUAAACCCCAUUGUGUUUGUGAAAUUUUAAGCACAUGUUUUUUCGUUACCUUUGCGGGUUUCUUUUUUUGCAUUGAGAGAAAAAAAGGAUCUUCAUUAUUCAAACUCUCAGCAUUUCGUCGUAGCAAGAUACUGGAACCGUAAAAUGUGCCCUGAACCUGCAACUAUAAACCUGUAUAGACCUGGACCUGUAUUCAUGAAACCGUUGCUAAUGCUCUAGCACAGAUUCUGUGCUCCGACCAAUUUUCUUGUAACUCUCAUAAGUUCUGUCAAAUGAUAAAAAAGUCAGAUGUAAAUGAUGGCUUUAAGUCAUUUCAAUUGUUUUCAAAAUCAUUGACAAAAUACUUUUUUAUUAAUUUAAAACCAGAAUAAGAAAUAAGGCUUGAGCACAAAAUUCAUGCUUGAGCAUGAGAACAGUUUCAUGAAUACGGACCCUGAGAACAAGAAGUAGAAACCUGUAUAAACUAGAAAACAUUAAGCAUCAGAGUUUUCUGUCAGACUUGAAUGUUGAGGAACAGAGAAGCAUACCAGUUUGUAUAUUUAUUUUACCUUAUCAUUAUGAGACCUGCAUGGUGUAAUGUGUGAAGUAUGGCUGAAUUAAUUGACAAAUGGACUGAUUACUGUAUAAAUGAAUAUUUGUAGAGUUAUCAUGGAGAAGUUAAGAAUUUGUAAUAAAGGAGGGUGGUUAAUGUGUGUGGGCAGAGGUUAAAGAAUGAAUGGCAAGUAUAAAUGGGUUUUUACCUGUAUAGAAUAAGAUGUUUUCCUUGAGUUGAUAUCUAUUUUAUUUAUUAUUUUAUCCAAUAUCCCUGUCGCUUAUGUAUAUAAAUAUAAUUGAACUAUUGGUAAAUGCUCUGUGAUACAUUGUAACUCUAUAAAAUGAAGUGUGUCAUAUAUGUAUGUACCAUUUAGAAAUGAAUUGUGUGUGCAUGAUUUGGUAGAGGUGUGGUGAAAUGACAUGUCUAUUGUAAGUAUAAUGAAGAUAUCUUAUAUGUUUGGAAACAAAUAGCCGAUUCUUAAAAUUGUGUUAUUUAUGUGUGUUUCUGUUGUCCAUGAUGUAUUUGCAUCAAAAUGUAAUAUAGUAACUCAAAACCGCUGAACAUGUAAGCUGUAUUAAAUACUAUGUUCAACAUGUCCUAAUAUUACCAGAUUACAUUUGACAUUUUUUAAUUAAUGCUGCACACUACAGAAUUUAUUAUUUGGUAUCAUUGUAUUUGAUACUACUCUAUAAUGACUGGGAAGCAGGCCAAGCCUCUGUAAUCCCAACUUUGUAAGCCCUCUGAUAAUCACUAAAUGUUAACCAUAAAUCAAUUGCCUAUCUUGAAAAGUAAUAUAUAAAUUACCAUAUUUAUCCUGCAAAAAGACCAGGAGGUCAGUACAUAAUCUCUUGACUCGGAUUAGAUGGCAGGUUUAUUACAGGGCAAUGAAGUAGGAUUUGUUGGCAUUACAGUGAACUGCAAUAUAGGGGUGGGCUUACUGCACGACAUGUGUAUGUAUAAAUAUGGUAAUGCUUUGAACAAGGAUUUCAAUCUGUGAUAGGAACAAAUAACAAGGACAGUUGUAAAUAAUUGAUUUCUUCACAUGGGAUGAAUAGAUAUAUUAGCCAAGUAACUGAUUUUACGUUAUUUGUACUAAAGCUUUUUCAAGGGAGUAUAGAUAUCUGAAAUACAAGCAACACAAGAUUAAUAUAAUAUAAUUUUUAUUGUAUUUCUAUCCUACUUCAUUUCAUUUUUAUUGUUUUUAUGAGUACUAUCGGGUCUGCUAAACCCUUUGUGUGUAGUAGAUAUUGGCAGACAUCUUGAUACUUUGUGCUAUAGACAGGCAAUAAUGAGGUCUGCGAAUUGUACACCUGGUACCUUAUACUUUUAACUACAAAGUUGAUGUAGUUAUCAUCAAUUACAAUAAGUUUUUGUAUCAUAUAUGUAUUAAUAAUGUGUUACUUUGACAGUUUUGUGCAUUCUAUUGUUGAAUAAAAUUUUAAACACGA